AAAAAUUUAGUUAAUCUAUAACAUUAACUUGUCAAGUUAAAAUAACUAUAUUAGUAAUUUUUG
rnacentral:tRNA from 1 species